ACCAGGAGGAUAACUUUUCCCAAAGCCAAAUAUUCAUGCAUGUCCAAAUACAGAUGUAGUUAAGGGUGUGAUAUAAAGUGGGAGUGUGAGAGCAUUUCCUUUGAGAAAAAUAAAUUAUUGUUGAGAGGCCAUUGGUUUGGUAAACUUAAUCUGGGACUGCAAAAUUCUGGGGAGUAACUGACAAGAUAAAGAAAGCUCCAGAACCCUGGGCAAUAUUCCUACCCCAGCAGUCAUCUGGAGUAAAGGAAUAUUGGAAGUUGUACACCCAUGACGUCUUAGAGGUUUGCAAGAGGACUGUAUUCAGCCGAAUAUCUGAGCAUCAUUAACAGACCACCUACAGGAUCAGUGUGCCCUGCAUUGAAAAGCCAGCUGCAGUGAGACACUUUUGAAUGAAGAAGCAUCUGGAAAUUGAGGAUAUCAGAGAAACCGCCUACUGAUGUAGAGGUGAGUUUUGGGGUAUCCCCUCUUGGACAGAGAUUGGGCUGAUUGAAAUAAGCUUUCUAAGAGGAGGAAGGGAGUAUAGAAGACUCAGUUCACUUAGUGGAGAAAGGCUGAGUUUAUCAUUUUCCUUGCAGAGGAGAUCAACUAUACCUGAGGAAACAGAACCUACAAAUAAUGACUCUGUAGGAGCUUCAAGUCCACCAGAAUUUUCAUGAGCUAACCUGACUACAAGAUGAUGCCCAUACUGUAUCUGCUGGCGGUAGCCUGAUCAAAAACAUUGUAAUUGUGGAGAUGAUUCUUCUUUUUAUCUCCUGUAACACCUGUACCUCUCCUCUGUCCAACCAUUAAAGGGAGCAGUUACCUACAAAUGUACUAUAUGCAGGUCCAAAUGAUAAAGAGUACACAGACAACUUAGAGGCAGGAUUGAAUACACAAGAAGAGUGGUUCUUGGUGUUCUGAGGGGCACUUCGCCUACUCAUGUGUGCUGCACAUCUUCCACCCCCAAAAUGAGACCUAUGUGGAAAAGGACGACAUUGAGCAAAGGGUACAGAUGGAAACUCCCUCUCCCUACAACACAUCCUCAGCUAUUUUGAGCUCCAAAGUUUAAAGAGAGCAAGAAGGCUUGCUUCAGAUGGCUGGCACCACUGUCACCAUCCCCAUCUCAGAUUCAGAGAGAGGUGUACAAGAAGGAGAAAAGCAGGUGGUUUUCCAUGGGAAGCAAGGGCUAAGAAUGGGAAUCUGAUCAUCCAACAAAAGAUCCUGAUCUUUAAAGAGGCCAUUCUACCUUAGCCCAACUGAGGUCUGUAUCUUGAAAUCAUAAGGUUUCCGAAGAGUAGAACACAAGCCCAGUGUUCAGGUCAAGAGGAAAACAAGAGCUUUGGAAUCAGACACACUUGAAU